GAUAUGGGAACCUUGGAGCAGGUGGAGUCCGGCCUGGAGGGUACGGGACUGGCCCUGGGGGGUACGGGGCCGGCCCUGGAGGGUACGGGACUGGCCCUGGGGGGUACGGGGCCGGCCCUGGAGGGUACGGGACUGGCCCUGGGGGGUACGGCACCGGCCCUGGGGGGUACGGCACCGGCCCUGGGUAUGGCACCGGCCCUGGGGGGUACGGGACCGGCCCUGGGGGGUACGGCACUGGCCCUGGGGGAUACGGCACCGGCCCUGGAGGGUACGGAACCGGGUCAAGUGGCAGAGUACCUGAAGGAGCGGGCAGCCUUGGGAUUGGUGGAGCAGGGACUGGACCAGGAGGUUACGGUACUGGACCAGGUCUUGGAGGUGAAUAUGCACCGUUGAAUGCAAAAGAGCGGCUCAUCAUUUGGAAGCCUUUGGAAAGCCGUUGUUUGAUUUUCUUCAUCCUGCUUCUGAAGGCUCCGGGUAUGCCACUCCAGGUGGGGGAGCAGCUUCUGGCUCCAGGAAACCUUCCAAAAGUAGGUGGAUGACACAUUUCAGUGGAGGGUAUAAUUCUGCCGUUUGACGUCCAAAUUCAAGAAGUAAAUGCUUUUUCUUCAGGUUAUGGGGCAGCCGCUGCUGGAUCCAGACCAGUCGGUGCUGGCUUUGGUUCUGGGGUUGCUGGUAUUGGACCUGGUGGUGCUGGAUUUGGACCCGGUGGUGUCGGAACCAGACCAGGCGGUGCUGGGACUGGACCCGGUAGUGUUGGGUCUGCAGCAGGAGGUUUUGGAACAGGUGGCUAUGGGCCUGGAUCCACUGGACAAGGUGGAUACGGGCAGGGGGCUGCUGGUGUCGGACCCCAAGGUGCGGCAACAGGCGGUUUUGGCCCUGGCGGAGUGGGAGCCGGACCAGGCGGCUUUGGUCCUGGUGGGAUAGGCAUGGGGCCUGGAGGCUACCCUGUCGGUGGUCAAGGAUACGGGAAACGGAAGCCAUUCAAAUCAAACAAAUAUGGGUCUGGUAAUUUAGGACCUGGUGGUGCUGGACAAGGAGGUGCUGCCUUUGGGCAAGGAGGUGUUGGAACAGAUGGUGCUGGCUUUGGACCUGGCGGUGCUGGUGCCGGGACAGGUGGUGCUGGCUUUGGACCUGGUAGUGCAGGAACCGGUCCAGGCGGCUUUGGACCUGGUGGUGCAGGAACCGGACCAGGCGGCUUUGGACCUGGUGGUGCAGGAACCGGACCAGGCCGCUUUGGACCUGGUGGUGCUGGUGCCGGUACAGGUGGUGCUGGCUUUGGACAAGGAGGUGCGGGAACCGGACCCGGCAGAUUUGGACCUGGUGCUGGUGGUGCUGGUACAGGUGGCGCUGGACAAGGAGGUGCUGGCUUCGGACCUGGCGGUGCUGGACAAGGAGGUGCUGGACCCAGACCAGGCGGCUUUGGUCCUGGCGGUGCUGGCCAAGGAGGUGCUGGCUUCGGACCGGGUGGUGCUGGUGCUGGGACUGGUGGCUUCGGACCGGGUGGUGCUGGUGCCGGAGGUGGUGCUGGUACCGGGACAGGAGGUGCUGGACCAGGUGGUGCUGGACAAGGAGGUGCUGGGGGGGCUAGUUUUGGACCCGGGAGCACUCAAGGUCUCGGACCAAGAAAACCAUCUAAAUCAGGUUACGGAUCCUCAUCUCUGGGUGGAACCGGCUAUGGGCCAGGUGGGGCAGGUGCUAACGCUGGGGGAGUCGGUCAUGGUCCCGGAGGAGUCGGACCAGGUGGGUACCAACCUGCAGGAACUGGCACGGGAGGUUACGGGCCCGGAGGUGCUGGACAAGGCAGAUAUGGACCAGCAGGUGGGGCUGGUGGAUUUGGCCCUGGUGGACAGGGACUAGGAACAAGAAAAGCUCCUAAAUCGGGUUACGGUUCCUCAUCCGGUGGAACAGGCUUUGGACCAGCAGGUGGUGCCAUUGGAGGUGUUCCCAGUGCAGGAACAGCAGGUGGAGUGGGAGGAGGUGCAGGAGGUAAUCUUGGUAAGUUCUGGUUCUCUAAUGCAAGCCCAGUCUCAUUGUUAACCCUCAGCCCUGACUGA
ensembl:lncRNA